rnacentral:rRNA from 1 species
GCGGCGGACGGGUUAGUAACGCGUGGGAACGUACCCAGAUCUAAGGAAUAGCCACUGGAAACGGUGAGUAAUACCUUAUACGCCCUUCGGGGGAAAGAUUUAUCGGAUUUGGAUCGGCCCGCGUUAGAUUAGGUAGUUGGUGGGGUAAUGGCCUACCAAGCCUACGAUCUAUAGCUGGUUUUAGAGGAUGAUCAGCAACACUGGGACUGAGACACGGCCCAGACUCCUACGGGAGGCAGCAGUGGGGAAUCUUAGACAAUGGGCGCAAGCCUGAUCUAGCCAUGCCGCGUGAGUGAUGAAGGCCUUAGGGUCGUAAAGCUCUUUCGCCUGUGAUGAUAAUGACAGUAGCAGGUAAAGAAACCCUGGCUAACUCCGUGCCAGCAGCCGCGGUAAUACGGAGGGGGUUAGCGUUGUUCGGAAUUACUGGGCGUAAAGCGCACGUAGGCGGAUUAGAAAGUUAGGGGUGAAAUCCCGGGGCUCAACCUCGGAACUGCCUCUAAAACUCCUAGUCUAGAGUUCGAGAGAGGUGAGUGGAAUUCCAAGUGUAGAGGUGAAAUUCGUAGAUAUUUGGAGGAACACCAGUGGCGAAGGCGGCUCACUGGCUCGAUACUGACGCUGAGGUGCGAAAGUGUGGGGAGCAAACAGGAUUAGAUACCCUGGUAGAAGGGCG